CGCCCCGCCCGCGCGGGGUCGCGUGGCGGCGCGCACGUCCGAGACUGCCCGUUAGCUGGAGUUCGAGUCCCGGUCCGGGUCCCGGCCGGGCGGAUGCCAGUGGGAGGAAGGCGGCCCGCUUAACUUAAGUGGCUUUGGCCACUGCCCAGCCUUCCUUUUCCUCCUCGGUUCCCUGCAGUCGGCUGUCCAGACAGCUGCCGAAUAUCUCCAAGAAUAGCGACUCCAUAAUUUCUCUUAUGACCCUGUGCCACUGCGCCGGCAGCUUCUGUAUAAAAAGGUCUUUCCUGAUAUUCCGAGGGAGCCUCCUGUGUUUCGUUUUGUGCCUGCUGCCUCUUGUCCUGUCACCAGGCACUACUGAGAAGAGCCUGGCUCUGUCUUCACAUCUCCCCCAGUCCUUUAGGAUCUUCCACUAAUGAGAAGCCCAUUGAUCCCUAUUGGUGCUACCAGCCAGCCAACUGUCCCUGCUGUAUGACCCCACGUUCCUUCAGGAAGUGAGUGACUCUAGUAUCUGCAACCAAACAGGUUGCCAGUGGAGUUCUCAGGAAGCAUCAAGUGCAUAUCUGUGCGAACACCAGGACUGUGAGCAAGGAGGUAAAUGUACUAGGGGUGAAGGUACUAACCAAGUGAAGACUUUGCAGCUGUAUCUUGCAGGACAGAAUUACAGCAACAUUUUGGCGGCAGUCCACAGAUGGUGGUGUUCCCAACUCACCUGGUUACCUAGUUCAGAAAUAAAGGAGCUCCUAGUCCAGCUCCUUCACUAGGUCUUCCUUACUCAGGUCUAACUAUUGGGCCUUGUAAGAAUGACUAAAUCAGGCUUUUCUUGCACUUUAAUUUUCUCCUCUUUAAUGCCAGUCAGAGAGAAAUAAGAGAGCAACAGGCUUAGAGAAGACUGCGUGUGGCAGAGGUGAUAGAAAAGUGAGCAUCUUGUACAAUGGAUCUUUCUCUGUCCUCCACUCUGGACUUCUGUUUCGCUUUUUACAUUAAUCUGCACUCUGCUGCCCGAUUUCACAGUGCAGUCUCCCUCCUGGAGUGCCUGUGGGUGUCAUUCUGUGGGCAAACCAGGUGGGAGAGCUGUUCUUUCUCCUGUAUCCCAGAAUUACCAAGUUCGCAGUCUUGCGCAUCCAGCUCAUGCCGGGAGAGAUGCUCCACAAUGCCAGCCCCCAAAGAAUCUCCCAGGACAUUUGUAGUUGUUCUAAGGCGGUCCCUGAAAAAUCAGAGAGAGAAACAAAAUAGAGUUCAUAGUAGCAGCUAAGGGGAUGAAGAUUAUUUCAAGAAACAUCUUCAGUGAAACUUUUUCUACUUCCUAAGUCAUUCUAAUAAUGGAUACUUCAACACUGACUGGAAAAUUACUCCCAGAGAGCCUUCCUUGAUUGACAUUCUUGAGCUCAAGCUUCACAUUCAUUCCUGUUUUAUUGCAUUCCCAAUUUAUUACUGAAUAGUUUUGGAUUUGACACAAAUUAAGAUGAAGGUUGCUGUGUUUAUACAUGGACUCUGUCCUUUCCAAAAACCUUGCUGCAGACUCAGAUGGUCUCAACAUGUCUCUUUCACUUAAAGUUGCAUUUUGUUUUACAAAAAGUGCUGAAAUUCUGGUGCAAUCCUAUGACAGCACUGCUGUGGACACAGAUUUCCUCAGCAUGGACAGCAUGUGGUAAGACAAGGCACCAGAUUCUUUGUGAAAAACAGCACAUCUAAAAGACCUUUUGCAAUGAGAUAUUCUCCACAACCACAACAGUAUGUCAGAGCUGCUGAAGCUGUCACCAGUCCAGCAUCCCAUCAGAACCUUCGGUAGUAACAGCGGAGCCUGAUCGAAAUAAUCUACUCUGAGUAAGCACAAGAAGUAACCCCGUUUAUUAGGAGGCAGAGCUCUUCCCAGCCAAGUCUGUUCUUAUGUACAAUCCACAGGAGAAUUGAAGGUGUUCUGCAAAACUGUUUCCAACUGGUCAGCCAUGGCUGGGAGCAGAGUUUGGCUGCUUUGGCUGCAAAGCAACAAUACAAGAUACAGAAGAACAGAGGAGAACACUGACUGUAUCCAUCUGUCAGGAUUUUGGUGUUUGAGAAGACAGAGAGGUGGGACUGUGCACAAAUGCAUUCUUCAAUAUGGUUCCUAAGAGCAUUACUAUAAAAUCACUUGUCCCAAGUGAUUUUAUUUAAAAGGGAAAGAAAACUGAAAUGCAGCAGUGUAGUUGACUAGCUGCACCCAUGUAAACACUCUUCAACUUUGUACACCCCAGUCUCAUCCCUCUUUCAGUGUUUGGUAGCCCAGAACUUCAUUCUGUAGUGUGGAUUUGCUUGUUAUUGGCACAGCUCUUCCCUAUGACUCUGCAAAUAAUUUCUGUAUGCAUUUUAAAUAAAGCAAAUUGAGGACA